rnacentral:rRNA from 1 species
UACAGAGGGGGCAAGCGUUGUUCGGAAUUACUGGGCGUAAAGGGCGCGUAGGCGGGUUGUUAAGUCGGGGGUGAAAUCCUGGAGCUCAACUCCAGAACUGCCUUCGAUACUGGCGACCUUGAGUCCGGGAGAGGUGAGUGGAACUCCGAGUGUAGAGGUGAAAUUCGUAGAUAUCGGGAGGAACACCUGUGGCGAAGGCGGCCCCCUGGUUGGAUACUGACGCUGAUACGCGAAAGCGUGGGGAGCAAACAGG